rnacentral:rRNA from 2 species
ACUUUAUUGUUGAACGUCUGUGUGCAACCACCAUUUACUGUGAAAAAAUUAAAGUGUUCAAAGCAGGCAUUUGUCGUGAAUACAUUAGCAUGGAAUAAUUGAAUAGGACUUGGUCUUAUUUUGUUGGUUUGUUAUGGCCGAGUAAUGAUUAAAAGGGACAGUUGGGGGCAUUUGUAUUCCAGAGCUAGAGGUGAAAUUCUUAGAUUUCUGGAAGACAAACCGCUGCGAAAGCGUCUGCCAAGGAUGUUUUCAUUGAUCAAGAACGAAAGUAAGGGGAUCGAAGACGAUCAGAUACCGUCGUAGUCUUUACUAUAAACGAUGAGGACUGGGGAUCGGGCGAGGAAUUGCGAUGACCCGCCCGGCACCCUCCGGGAAACCAAAGUGUUUGCUUUCUGGGGGGAGUAUGGUCGCAAGGCUGAAACUUAAAGGAAUUGACGGAAGGGCAUCACCGGGUGUGGAGCCUGCGGCUUAAUUUGACUCAACACGGGAAAACUUACCAGGUCAGGACAUAGUGAGGAUUGACAGAUUGAGAGCUCUUUCUUGAUUCUAUGGUUGGUGGUGCAUGGCCGUUCUUAGUUGGUGGAGUGAUUUGUCUGGUUAAUUCCGUUAACGAGCGAGACCUGGGCGUGCUAAAUAGGGGCUAUUACCGUUUUUGGUAGUACGUUACUCCUUCUUAGACGGACUGCGGGCGUCUAGUCCGCGGAAGCUCCAGGCAAUAACAGGUCUGAGAUGCCCUUAGAUGUUCUGGGCCGCACGCGUGCUACACUGAGUGGAUCAGCGGGUCAGGUUGCACGAAAGUGUUUCCUAAUCUUGAAAUCCGCUCGUGAUGGGGAUUGAGGGUUGCAAUUUUCCCUCAUGAACGAGGAAUACCUUGUAAGCGUGGGUCAUCAUCCCGCGCUGAAUACGUCCCUGCCCUUUGUACACACCGCCCGUCGCUCCUACCGAUUGAGUGGUCCGGUGAGGCUUUGGGAUUGCAGCGGGAAGAGCGUUUCGCUCGUUCUGCCACGAAAACUCAGUCGAACCUUAUCAUUUAGAGGAA